rnacentral:rRNA from 1 species
AUUGAACGCUGGCGGAAUGCUUUACACAUGCAAGUCGAACGGCAGCACGGACUUCGGUCUGGUGGCGAGUGGCGAACGGGUGAGUAAUGUAUCGGAACGUGCCCAGUCGUGGGGGAUAACGUAGUGAAAAUUACGCUAAUACCGCAUACGAUCUAUGGGCGAAAGCGGGGGAUCGCAAGACCUCGCGCGAUUGCAGCGGCCGAUAUCAGAUGAGGUAGUUGGUGGGGUAAAGGCCCACCAAGCCAACGAUCUGUAGCUGGUCUGAGAGGACGACCAGCCACACUGGAACUGAGACACGGUCCAGACUCCUACGGGAGGCAGCAGUGGGGAAUUUUGGACAAUGGGCGAAAGCCUGAUCCAGCCAUUCCGCGUGCAGGAUGAAGGCCCUCGGGUUGUAAACUGCUUUUGUACAGAACGAAAAGGUUUCUACUAAUACUAGGAGCUCAUGACGGUACUGUAAGAAUAAGCACCGGCUAACUACGUGCCAGCCGCCGCAGUAA